rnacentral:tRNA from 1 species
AUUCUCUUAUUAUAAAAAGUAUAUUUGACUUCCAAUCAAAAAGUCUCAUAAGAGAGAGAAUA